CAGUAGGGAAGAAGCGAAAGUGACGGUACCUGCAGAAGAAGCACCGGCUAACUACGUGCCAGCAGCCGCGGUAAUACGUAGGGUGCGAGCGUUAUCCGGAAUUAUUGGGCGUAAAGAGCUCGUAGGCGGUUUGUCGCGUCUGUCGUGAAAGUCCGGGGCUUAACCCCGGGAUCUGCGGUGGGUACGGGCAGACUAGAGUGCAGUAGGGGAGACUGGAAUUCCUGGUGUAGCGGUGGAAUGCGCAGAUAUCAGGAGGAACACCGAUGGCGAAGGCAGGUCUCUGGGCUGUAACUGACGCUGAGGAGCGAAAGCAUGGGGAGCGAACAGGAUUAGAUACCCUGGUAGUCCAUGCCGUAAACGUUGGGCACUAGGUGUGGGGACCAUUCCACGGUUUCCGCGCCGCAGCUAACGCAUUAAGUGCCCCGCCUGGGGAGUACGGCCGCAAGGCUAAAACUCAAAGGAAUUGACGGGGGCCCGCACAAGCGGCGGAGCAUGCGGAUUAAUUCGAUGCAACGCGAAGAACCUUACCAAGGCUUGACAUGUUCUCGAUCGCCGUAGAGAUACGGUUUCCCCUUUGGGGCGGGUUCACAGGUGGUGCAUGGUUGUCGUCAGCUCGUGUCGUGAGAUGUUGGGUUAAGUCCCGCAACGAGCGCAACCCUCGUUCCAUGUUGCCAGCACGUCGUGGUGGGGACUCAUGGGAGACUGCCGGGGUCAACUCGGAGGAAGGUGAGGACGACGUCAAAUCAUCAUGCCCCUUAUGUCUUGGGCUUCACGCAUGCUACAAUGGCCGGUACAAUGGGUUGCGAUACUGUGAGGUGGAGCUAAUCCCAAAAAGCCGGUCUCAGUUCGGAUUGGGGUCUGCAACUCGACCCCAUGAAGUCGGAGUCGCUAGUAAUCGCAGAUCAGCAACGCUGCGGUGAAUACGUUCCCGGGCCUUGUACACACCGCCCGUCAAGUCACGAAAGUUGGUAACACCCGAAGCCGG
rnacentral:rRNA from 1 species